rnacentral:lncRNA from 1 species
AUGCCCGGAACUUGGACACCACUCUCUCCCAGCCUUUGGACUCAUCAGACUAUCGGUUCCUGCUGGGCGUCAGCUGUGGAUCCGCACCCCUGCCCUCCUGGGCGUCAGCUGUGGAUCCGCACCCCUGCCCUCCUGGGUGUCAGCUGUGGAUCGCACCCCUGCCCCCCUGGGCAUCAGCCGUGGAUUGUACCCCUGCCCCCCUGGGCGUCAGCUGUGGAUCGCACCCCUGCCCUCCUGGGCGUCAGCUGUGGAUCCGCACCCCUGCCCUCCUGGGUGUCAGCUGUGGAUCCUCACCCCUGCCCCCCUGGGCGUCAGCUGUGGAUCGCACCCCUGCCCCCCUGGGCGUCAGCUGUGGAUCCGCACCCCUGCCCUCCUGGGCGUCAGCUGUGGAUCCGCACCCCUGCCCUCCUGGGCAUCAGCCGUGGAUUGCACCCCUGCCCCCCUGGGUGUCAGCUGUGGAUCGCACCCCUGCCUCCUGGGCGUCAGCUGUGGAUCCACCCCUGCCCUCCUGGGCGUCAGCCGUGGAUCGCACCCCUGCCCCCCUGGGCGUCAGCCGUGGACCGCACCCCUGCCCCCCUGGGCGUCAGCCGUGGAUCGCACCCCUGCCCCCCUGGGCAUCAGCCAUGGAUCCACACCCCUGCUCUCCUGGGCGUCAGCCGUGGAUUGCACCCCUGCCCUCCUGGGCGUCAGCCGUGGAUCGCACCCCUGCCCCCCUGGGCGUCAGCCGUGGACCGCACCCCUGCCCUCCUGGGCGUCAGCUGUGGAUCGCACCCCUGCCCCCCUGGGCGUCAGCCGUGGAUCGCACCCCUGCCCCCCUGGGCGUCAGCUGUGGAUCGCACCCCUGCCCCCCUGGGCGUCAGCCGUGGAUCCACACCCCUGCCCCCCUGGUGUCAGCUGUGGAUCCGCACCCCUGCCCUCCUGGGCGUCAGCUGUGGAGCACAGGUCACCUGGGGGGGGUCUCCCUCAGCUCUCCUGUGCCUCCCCCUUGCCACUUGCAGAUUCUAA